GUUGAGGGGAAUGUUGUCUGGUUCGAAACCAUUGACGCAAAGAGCAUGCUUCGAUAGUCUCCUCGACGGCAUGAAUGGUUUCGGACCAGGCUUCAUUCCCCCCAAC
rfam:Ananas comosus cultivar MD2 ACMD2_Scaffold_777, whole genome shotgun sequence.